UACGUAGGGGGCAAGCGUUGUCCGGAUUUAUUGGGCGUAAAGAGCGUGUAGGCGGCUUUACAGGUCCGUUGUGAAAACUCGAGGCUCAACCUCGAGACGCCGGUGGAAACCGUAAGGCUAGAGUCCGGAAGAGGAGAGUGGAAUUCCUGGUGUAGAGGUGAAAUUCGUAGAUAUUAGGAAGAACACCGGUGGCGAAGGCGGCCCACUGGAUCGGUACUGACGCUGAGGUGCGAAAGCGUGGGGAGCAAACGGG
rnacentral:rRNA from 1 species